rnacentral:rRNA from 1 species
GAGGAAUCUUGCGCAAUGGGCGAAAGCCUGACGCAGCGACGCCGCGUGAGGGAUGAAGGCCUUCGGGUUGUAAACCUCUGUCAGGGGGGAAGAACCCGGAGUCGGUGAAUAACUGGCUCCGCUGACGGUACCCCCAGAGGAAGCACCGGCUAACUCCGUGCCAGCAGCCGCGGUAAUACGGAGGGUGCGAGCGUUAUCCGGAAUUACUGGGUUUAAAGGGUGCGUAGGCGGCUCUGUAAGUCAGGAGUGAAAGUUUGCGGCUCAACCGUAAAAUUGCUUUUGAUACUGCAAGGCUAGAAUCAGGAUGAGGUCAGCGGAAUGUGGCAUGUAGCGGUGAAAUGCAUAGAUAUGCCAUAGAACACCAAUUGCGAAGGCAGCUGGCUAGACCUGUAUUGACGCUGAGGCACGAAAGCGUGGGGAGCGA